UCAAAAUAAAAACAUAUAUAAAAAAUAAAAAAAUAAAAAAAAGUGUUUGAUCUAAAGUGUUCUUCCUGUCUGGGCAAAGAAGAAGUGUCUCCGUCAGUCGGUCACUCGGUCUCCUCUCUGCUCUUCUUUGUCCGAAGCUCUCUUCGUGUCGUCUCUACUCUGCUCUUCUUUCUCUCAAGCUCUGUUCGUGUAGUCUCUGGCCAAGAAGAAGACGAAGCUCUGUUCGAAUCGUCCCCCCAGUUCCUCCACGUCGUUUUCUCGAAUCGAAUUUUGCCUUGUGAAUAACGGUGGAUCUGUCACUGGUUUCAAUUCUAGUAGGGAUCGGAGGGCGUGAUGGUGUCGAGAGAGCUGUUCGGUUGGUCCCCGCCGCACAUACAGACUCUCACUCCGGUGUCUGAGGUUUCAGAGCCGCCAGAGUCGCCGUCUCUGUAUAUUGAUCCCGGUGCCGAGACUUCAGCGUCGCAACAGGUUGAGGUGGAGGAGGAGAUCGAGGAGCCAGAGGAGGUUGAGCCGACGGCAGCUGCUGUUCCUUUCUGCCGCCUCUUCGCUUGCGCCGAUCAUUUUGACUGGUUCCUUACUUCCUUAUGAUCUGCUGCAGCUCACGGCACCGCUCUCGUCGUUUACUUGCAUUUUUUUGCCAAAAUCAUCCAGGUUCCUCGGCAAGAUGCCCAGUUUCACACGUUCAAGGAGAGGUCAGAGAAUAAAACAUGAUUCUCAUAAGGAGUAUGCUGCCUACAACUCUGCAUUGAUGAAAACUAUUAAGGGUGCAACAACUGGUUUAAUUUCUGGCCCCCUCUGGGUACUGUUGUUGCCACCUGGAAUCAUGUUCCUCGUGUUGAGAGAAACGUUGCUCUUCCAGGCCUCAUAAGAACUUUCAAGAUGAUGGGCAACUAUGCAUUGACCUUUGUUGCCAUAGGAGGAGUCUACAUUGGUGUUAAGCAGUUGGUGCAGAACGCUAGGAUGAAGAGGGAUCUUGUCAAUGGUGCUAAGAUGUUAUGUGAACUUGAACCUUAUUUUUCUUUAUAUAGAAACUAAAUUCCAGAGUUUAUUGCCUUUUGUUAUUUUUUUUCCGCUGACAUUUAGUUGUAUUCCCUUAUUUUCAUUAUUUUUCCGUGAAGCUCCUAAGUUGUUCGUUUUCCAUUCCAACCAAGAAAUUUUCUUGUUCUUAAAGCCCACAAUGUCUUGUAGCCAUAGCUUAAGGCCUAAGCAUAAUGUAUCUCUUAGCGGUUGUAAUUCAAAUGAAACCUUUAUUGCUAACUAAUUGAAACUUUUCUUUUAA